rnacentral:rRNA from 1 species
ACUCCUGCGGGAGGCAGCAGUGGGGAAUAUUGGACAAUGGGCGCAAGCCUGAUCCAGCCAUGCCGCGUGAGUGAUGAAGGCCCUAGGGUUGUAAAGCUCUUUCACCGGUGAAGAUAAUGACGGUAACCGGAGAAGAAGCCCCGGCUAACUUCGUGCCGGCAGCCGCGGUAAUACGAAGGGGGCUAGCGUUGUUCGGAUUUACUGGGCGUAAAGCGCACGUAGGCGGACUAUUAAGUCAGGGGUGAAAUCCCGGGGCUCAACCCCGGAACUGCCUUUGAUACUGGUAGUCUUGAGUUCGAGAGAGGUGAGUGGAAUUCCGAGUGUAGAGGUGAAAUUCGUAGAUAUUCGGAGGAACACCAGUGGCGAAGGCGGCUCACUGGCUCGAUACUGACGCUGAGGUGCGAAAGCGUGGGGAGCAAACAGGAUUAGAUACCCUUGUAGUCCCAUG